UACGGAGGGGGCUAGCGUUGUUCGGAAUUACUGGGCGUAAAGCGCACGUAGGCGGAUCAGUCAGUUAGAGGUGAAAUCCCAGGGCUCAACCCUGGAACUGCCUUUAAUACUGCUGAUCUGGAGGAUGAGAGAGGCGAGUGGAAUUCCGAGUGUAGAGGUGAAAUUCGUAGAUAUUCGGAGGAACACCAGUGGCGAAGGCGGCUCGCUGGCUCAUUUCUGACGCUGAGGUGCGAAAGCGUGGGGAGCAAACAGG
rnacentral:rRNA from 1 species